UGUGGCAAACGGGUGAGUAACGCAUGGGUAACCUACCCUCAGGUGGGGAAUAACUCCCCGAAAGGGGAGCUAAUGCCGGAUACCCAUCGCAUAAGGAAAGCCGCGCCUAAGGAUGGGCUCAUGUCCUAUCAGCUUGUUGGCGGGGUAACGGCCCACCAAGGCUGCGACGGGUAGCUGGUCUGAGAGGACGACCAGCCACACUGGCACUGCGACACGGGCCAGACUCCUACGGGAGGCAGCAGUGAGGAAUAUUGCGCAAUGGACGACAGUCUGACGCAGCGACGCCGCGUGGGGGAUGAAGGCCUUCGGGUUGUAAACCCCUUUCGGGAGGGAAGAUGGACGGUACCUCCAGAAGCAGCCACGGCUAACUCUGUGCCAGCAGCCGCGGUAAGACAGAGGUGGCAAGCGUUGUUCGGAUUUACUGGGCGUAAAGGGUGCGUAGGUGGUUAGGUAAGACCUGUGGGAAAGACCUGGGCUUAACCCAGGAAGGUCGCAGGUGAC
rnacentral:rRNA from 1 species